rnacentral:lncRNA from 1 species
GAUUUGGGGUAAGAAUAUGUAAUUUACUCUAUCUAUGCUAAUGCCCAACCAGACAGUUUAAAGAAGUUGCUGUAUAUGUUUUUUAAGUCGUAAAAUCAUGUAUUAACUUAGUCCUGCAAAAAUGAACUGCGAAAAUUCACUUCGCAAAGUCAUAUCCCUUUAGAAGCUGAAAUCUGUUAAGAAACAACGAGCAGCUUAAAUUCACAUCACCCUAGAUGAAUUCUGAUCUUGUAAAGCUUAAAGACAACACUAGUUCUACUCCUCCAGAGUACAGCAGGGCACAUCACCACGGUAAUAAAAGAUUGACCCUUUAGAUGAAUCAACACCUCAAUUCAUGCACACCUCAAAGAGGGAAGAAACAAUCACCACAUAAUAAGAAGAAAAUCUGCUCAAAAUUCACUAAGAUAAACAAGUUCAGUAAUUCACUGACUAAAGCUCAUCAUAAAAUGUGAGAUAAAACCAGGCAAAGAAAUAACCACCAAAGAGCUAUUGUCAUGGCCCAUCAAGCAAUUUAGCUCUGCACCAAAUUGCUCAAUUACUCCACUAUCCUCAAAAGAGGCUAGAGAACCAUGACAAUAGCUCCUGGAGAUCCAGCACUGGUUAAAUGUCCAAAACAAAAUUGGAAAAAACUGAUGCAAAUAAACAAAACUAGUUCAUCCAAGUUGAAUCCCAUCAACACCACAACCUCACUUCUUCUUCUGAGCAGCUUUGGUGACCUUGGCGCCAGUUGGGUCCUUCUUGUCAACACUCUUGAUGACACCAACAGCAACAGUCUGACGCAUGUCCCUCACAGCAAAACGACCCAAUGGUGGGUACUCGGCAAAGGUCUCCACAACCAUAGGCUUGGUCGGCAUCAUCUUAACCAUACCAGCAUCACCAUUCUUCAAGAACUUAGGCUCCUUCUCAAGUUCCUUACCAGAACGUCUGUCAAUCUUGGUCAAGAUCUCAGCGAACUUGACAGCAAUGUGGGAAGUGUGGCAGUCAAGAACUGGUGCAUAUCCAUUUCCAAUCUGACCAGGAUGGUUCAUGAUGAUGACCUGGGAGGUGAAACUGGCAGCCCCUUUGGCUGGGUCAUCCUUGGAAUUUGAGGCAACAUAACCACGCUUGAGAUCCUUAACAGCAACAUUCUUAACAUUGAACCCAACAUUGUCACCGGGGAGUGCCUCCAGGAGAGCUUCGUGGUGCAUCUCUACAGACUUGACUUCAGUUGUCAGACCAGUAGGCCCAAAGGUCACAACCAUACCAGGCUUGAGGACACCAGUUUCAAC